ACAACAUUCGGAGCAUUCGGUCUACCGAGCAAUAUCACCCGCUCGGUGGAAGAUCUUUCCUUUCGUCGU
rnacentral:pre_miRNA from 1 species